UACGGAGGGUGCAAGCGUUAUCCGGAUUUACUGGGUUUAAAGGGUGCGUAGGUGGGUUGGUAAGUCAGUGGUGAAAUACUUUCGCUUAACGAAGGAACUGCCAUUGAUACUAUCAAUCUUGAAUGUAGUGGAGGUAGGCGGAAUGCGUCAUGUAGCGGUGAAAUGCUUAGAUAUGACGCAGAACACCAAUUGCGAAGGCAGCUCGCUACACUACUAUUGA
rnacentral:rRNA from 1 species